UUUAUGWGUAGUAAAAUUGUAAAAAAAGUGAUGGUCCGCUGGAGUAGGCUGCGAGGCCCAAGAGUAGUAAGAGUAAGCAAGCCCACCUUUUAUGUGUAGUAAAAUUGUAAAAAAAGUGAUGGUCCGCUGGAGUAGGCUGCGAGGCCCAAGAGUAGUAAGAGUAAGCAAGCCCACCUUUUAUGUGUAGUAAAAUUGUAAAAAAAGUGAUGGUUCAUUGGAGUAAGCAAGCCAAUCAACACCUCUAGGAGUACUAUUCCGAAGCUGUAAACGUCGCCAUGGACUGAAGCUUGGCCACUUUGGGCAUACUCUACAAAAAAUAUUAGCAGUAAAUGUUAAUGUAAAUAACAACUGACCAUACAAAAAAGCAAGUUUGUGUAUUACUCCCUCCGUUCCUAAAUAUAAGUCUUUUUAGACAUUUCACUAGAAGGCUACAUACGGAGCAAAAUGAAUGAAUCGAUAAUCUAAAUUAUGUCUAUAUACAUCUGUAUGUAGUCCUUUUAGUGA
rnacentral:lncRNA from 1 species